GAGGGGGGUCGGGGACAUUAAGGCCUGCUAAGCCCUACCUCCACAGUUCAACUCCGUGGCCCACUCAGC
rnacentral:tRNA from 1 species